AUUGAACGCUGGCGGCAGGCCUAACACAUGCAAGUCGAACGGUAGCACAGAGAGCUUGCUCUUGGGUGACGAGUGGCGGACGGGUGAGUAAUGUCUGGGAAACUGCCCGAUGGAGGGGGAUAACUACUGGAAACGGUAGCUAAUACCGCAUAACGUCGCAAGACCAAAGUGGGGGACCUUCGGGCCUCACACCAUCGGAUGUGCCCAGAUGGGAUUAGCUAGUAGGUGGGGUAAUGGCUCACCUAGGCGACGAUCCCUAGCUGGUCUGAGAGGAUGACCAGCCACACUGGAACUGAGACACGGUCCAGACUCCUACGGGAGGCAGCAGUGGGGAAUAUUGCACAAUGGGCGCAAGCCUGAUGCAGCCAUGCCGCGUGUAUGAAGAAGGCCUUCGGGUUGUAAAGUACUUUCAGCGAGGAGGAAGGCAUUAAGGUUAAUAACCUUAGUGAUUGACGUUACUCGCAGAAGAAGCACCGGCUAACUCCGUGCCAGCAGCCGCCGUAA
rnacentral:rRNA from 1 species